rnacentral:lncRNA from 1 species
GCCCUGAGAGGGCUGCAGAGGCUGGUUCUCAGCAGAGCCACCAGGGAGCACUGUGGCCAAGCCCAGCACUGGGUGCCCAGCUGUGGGGACACAGGACCCUGGGGGGAAAAGCCAGGCCACUGACUCCAAGCUGCCAGGGGCAUCGCCAGGUGGCCUGCAUGGAACAAAGACCCCGAUGUAGGGGAGAAGGUGCUGGGGCCUGUUGGUCCGGGCAAGUUCAGCUCCCUCCAGGGCCCUAAGGCAGGGCAGCUGCAGACAUCAGGAGCUGGCAGUCCCUGAUCCAGCCCCAGCCUCCUCGGCCCAAGUGUUGCUGGGCUCGGCGGCCUCCUGGACUGUCGCUAGGGAUAACAUCAGGCUUCAAGGCGUCUAAUGAAUGCGGCCCCUCCGGGUCCCACUGUGAGGAGCCAGGUGGCCUCCAUGGUCAGCAGGUGGCCUGCAGCUGCCUGCUGACAGUCAAGGGUCUGGGCUCGGCCUCCAUGGCUUGCUCCGGCCAGAUCCAGCUCAGGGUCCUGUGCACGUCUCGGCUCCCAACUGGCUCCCACCCUCUGUCCCACUAGGGGCUCUGAGCCCGCAGUGUCC